rnacentral:rRNA from 1 species
UACGUAGGUUGCAAGCGUUGUCCGGAUUUACUGGGCGUAAAGAGCGCGCAGGCGGUCGUUCAAGUCGCGUGUGAAAGCCCCCGGCUCAACUGGGGAGGGUCACGCGAUACUGAUCGACUCGAAGGCAGGAGAGGGUAGUGGAAUUCCCGGUGUAGUGGUGAAAUGCGUAGAUAUCGGGAGGAACACCAGUGGCGAAGGCGACUACCUGGCCUGUUCUUGACGCUGAGGCGCGAAAGCUAGGGGAGCAAACGGG